AACGAACGCUGGCGGCAUGCCUUACACAUGCAAGUCGAACGGCAGCACGGGGCAACCUGGUGGCGAGUGGCGAACGGGUGAGUAAUGCAUCGGAACGUACCUUUCAGUGGGGGAUAACGUAGCGAAAGUUACGCUAAUACCGCAUAUUCUGUGAGCAGGAAAGCAGGGGAUCGCAAGACCUUGCGCUGAUUGAGCGGCCGAUGUCAGAUUAGCUAGUUGGUGAGGUAAAGGCUCACCAAGGCGACGAUCUGUAGCGGGUCUGAGAGGAUGAUCCGCCACGCUGGAACUGAGACACGGUCCAGACUCCUACGGGAGGCAGCAGUGGGGAAUUUUGGACAAUGGGGGCAACCCUGAUCCAGCCAUGCCGCGUGAGUGAAGAAGGCCUUCGGGUUGUAAAGCUCUUUCGGCCGGGAAGAAAUCGCACGGGCUAAUACCCUGUGUGGAUGACGGUACCGGAAUAAGAAGCACCGGCUAACUACGUGCCAGCCGCCGCCGUAAAAC
rnacentral:rRNA from 1 species